rnacentral:rRNA from 1 species
CCACCUACCUCUCCCACACUCUAGAAAAGUAGUUUCAAAUGCAGUUCUGUAGUUAAGCUACAGGAUUUCACAUCUGACUUACUUUCCCGCCUACGCACUCUUUACGCCCAGUGAUUCCGAGUAACGCUUGCACCCUCCGUAUUACCGCGGCUGCUGGCACGGAGUUAGCCGGUGCUUAUUCGUUAGAUACCGUCAUAAUCUUCUCUAACAAAAGGAGUUUACAAUCCUAAAACCUUCAUCCUCCACGCGGCGUUGCUGCUUCAGGCUUUCGCCCAUUGAGCAAUAUUCCCUACUGCUGCCUCCCGUAGGAGUCUGGACCGUGUCUCAGUUCCAGUGUGUCCGAUCACCCUCUCAGGCCGGAUACCCGUCAUAGCCUUGGUGAGCCUUUACA